CCCUUAGAUGUCCGGGGCUGCACGCGCGCUACACUGAAGGAAUCAGCGUGCUAAAACCAUUGUCGAAAGGCAUUGGUAAACCCAUUAAAAUCCUACGUGAUUGGGAUCGGGAAUUGCAAUUAUUUCCCUUGAACGAGGAAUUCCCAGUAAGUGUGGGUCAUAAGCUCGCGUUGAUUACGUCCCAGCCCUUUGUACACACCGCCCGUCGCUGCCCGGGACUGAGCCGUUUCGAGAAAAGCGGGGACUGCUGCUGUCGGGGCUUUCGGGCCUUGGCUUCGGUGGAAACCGCUUUAAUCGCAGUGGCUUGAACCGGGCAAAAGUCGUAACA
rnacentral:rRNA from 1 species